rnacentral:rRNA from 1 species
CCCUARUAACGGCGAGUGAAGAGGGAAAAGCUCAAAUUUAAAAUCUGGCGGUCUCCGGCCGUCCGAGUUGUAGUUUAGAGAGGUGUUUNCCGCGUCGGACCACACAAAAGUUCCUUGGAAUAGGGCUUCAUAGAGGGUGAGAAUCCCGUACAUGGUGUGGACUACCGGGGCUAUGUGAUGCACCCUCAAAGAGUCGAGUUGUUUGGGAAUGCAGCUCAAAAUGGGUGGUAAAUUCCAUCUAAAGCUAAAUAUUGGGGAGAGACCGAUAGCGCACAAGUACCGUGAGGGAAAGAUGAAAAGCACUUUGGAAAGAGAGUUAAACAGUACGUGAAAUUGCUGAAAGGGAAACGCUUGAAGUCAGUCGCGUCUGCUCAGACUCAGCCGUGGUUCUCCGCGGUGUACUUCUGUGCAGAUGGGCCAGCAUCGAUUUUGUCCAUCGUAUAAAUGCAUUUGGAACGUGGCAUCCCUCGGGAUGUGUUAUAGCCUUUUGCCAUGCGGUGAAUGGGAUCGAGGUUCGCAGCGCGCCGAAAGGCUGGGAUUCGUCCACACACGCGCUUAGGAUGCU